UACGGGGGGGGUAAGCGUUGUUCGGAAUUACUGGGCGUAAAGGGCUCGUAGGCGGCCAACUAAGUCAGACGUGAAAUCCCUCAGCUUAACUGGGGAACUGCGUCUGAUACUGGAUGGCUUGGAUCCGGAAGAGGGAUGCGGAAUUCCAGGUGUAGCGGUGAAAUGCGUAGAUAUCUGGAGGAACACCGGUGGCGAAGGCGGCAUCCUGGGCCGGUAUUGACGCUGAGGAGCGAAAGCCAGGGGAGCAAGCGGG
rnacentral:rRNA from 1 species